rnacentral:rRNA from 1 species
CAAUAGCGUAUAUUAAAGUUGUUGCGGUUAAAAAGCUCGUAGUUGGAUUUCUGCUUGGGGCAACCGGUCCGCCCUCUGGGUGAGUAUCUGGCUUGGCCCGGGCAUCUUCUUGGGGAACGUUACUGCACUUGACUGUGUGGUGCGGAGCCCAGGGCCUUUACUUUGAGGAAAUUAGAGUGUUUAAAGCAGGCCUUUGCCUUGAAUACAUUAGCAUGGAAUAAUAAGAUAGGACCGUUGUCUAUUUUGUUGGUUUACAGAUGUCGGUAAUGAUUAAUAGGGAUAGUUGGGGGUAUUCGUAUUCAGUUGUCAGAGGUGAAAUUCUUGGAUUUUCGGAAGACGCACGACUGCGAAAGCAUUUACCAAGGAUGUUUUCAUUAA